GACGAACGCUGGCGGCGUGCUUAACACAUGCAAGUCGAACGGAAAGGCCCUGCUUUUGUUGGGUGCUCGAGUGGCGAACAGGUGAGUAACACGUGAGUAACCUGCCCUUGACUUUGGGAUAACUUCAGGAAACUGGGGCUAAUACCGGAUAUGAGCUCCUGCUGCAUGUGGGGGGUUGGAAAGUUUCGGCGGUUGGGGAUGGACUCGCGGCUUAUCAGCUUGUUGGUGGGGUAGUGGCUUACCAAGGCUUUGACGGGUAGCCGGCCUGAGAGGGUGACCGGCCACAUUGGGACUGAGAUACGGCCCAGACUCCUACGGGAGGCAGCAGUGGGGAAUAUUGCACAAUGGGCGGAAGCCUGAUGCAGCAACGCCGCGUGCGGGAUGACGGCCUUCGGGUUGUAAACCGCUUUCGACUGUGACGAAGCGUGAGUGACGGUAAUGGGUAAAGAAGCACCGGCUAACUACGUG
rnacentral:rRNA from 1 species